GGGACUGGUCUCGUGUUACACUCAAACAUAAAGCCUGUGUACCUGUAUAUACAUUUUUUUUUUAAAUGGAAUUGGCAAGUUACAUGGAAGUCCCUCCAGAUAUCAUGUGCCAGAGGCUCUUGUGGACCACCCGUAUGCUAGAGCGCCUCUCCAGCCUCGCCCGGCACUUUGUAUGUCCCUCGGCUGGGUUUGUUUUUCCUGGUAGGAUGUAUCAGCACCUGACAGGCAUACGUUGUGUUUGCCUGCCUCUCCCAGUGAGCGUAUAGGCUCAGGAGAGAAGGCACUUAGACUGUGCUAGUCCCUGUACUUAGAACAGAAUCUGAGAGUAGUAGAUGCUCAGUGAGUCUGAUGAACGCCAGUAUAAAAUGUCCAAAGUUUGCUGCCUUCGUGCCCCACAGUUUAACCUGCCUAAAUUGGAAAAUAUCUAGAGCUGCUCUGGAAAGUGAAUUUCAUGUUGUUUGCCAACUCCACUUGCUUGUUGCUGCCUAGGUUGAGAGAACCGGCUCAUGGGAAAGAAAGCAGUGAUUGUUUAGUAGUGGCUGUGGGGCCACAGGAGAGGAGAAUGUGGCAUACACGUGAGGUACUGGUCAUCCCCAGUGUAAUGAGCCACUGGAGGGC
rnacentral:lncRNA from 1 species